rnacentral:rRNA from 1 species
UAGGGAAUCUUCCGCAAUGGGCGAAAGCCUGACGGAGCAACGCCGCGUGAGUGAUGAAGGUCUUCGGAUCGUAAAACUCUGUUAUUAGGGAAGAACAAAUGUGUAAGUAACUAUGCACGUCUUGACGGUACCUAAUCAGAAAGCCACGGCUAACUACGUGCCAGCAGCCGCGGUAAUACGUAGGUGGCAAGCGUUAUCCGGAAUUAUUGGGCGUAAAGCGCGCGUAGGCGGUUUUUUAAGUCUGAUGUGAAAGCCCACGGCUCAACCGUGGAGGGUCAUUGGAAACUGGAAAACUUGAGUGCAGAAGAGGAAAGUGGAAUUCCAUGUGUGGCGGUGAAAUGCGCAGAGAUAUGGAGAAACACCAGUGGCGAAGGCGACUUUCUGGUCUGUAGCUGACGCUGAUGUGCGAAAGCGUGGGGAUCAAACAGG